GCUUUCGUAGAUCAGCGCCAGAUCACCUUGUCCUGGUCCGGAGUUGUGUAGACAUUAUUGAUGUGAAGGAGAUGCGGGUUCAACUCCCGCCGAAGGCA